rnacentral:rRNA from 1 species
UAUCUCUGUAGAGUCUGCAUAUCAAUAAGCGGAGGAAAAGAAACUAACAUAGGAUUCCCUCAGUAACGGCGAGUGAAGCGGGAAGAGCUCAAAUUUGAAAUCUUCAAGGUUCUACCUUGAGGAAUUGUAGUUUAAAGAAGUGUUUUCUGUUGGAGUUUUGGUAAAAGUUCUUUGGAAUAGGACAUCAUAGGAGGGUGAGAAUCCCGUAUUUGACCAUUAUUUCCAGCUUUGUGAUACACUUUCAAAGAGUCGGAUUGUUUGGGAAUGCAGUCCAAAAUGGGUGGUAAAUUUCAUCUAAAGCUAAAUACUGGCGAGAGACCGAUAGCGAACAAGUACCGUGAGGGAAAGAUGAAAAGAACUUUGAAAAGAGAGUUAAACAGUACGUGAAAUUGUCAAAAGGGAAGCGUUUGACACCAGUGUUGUUUUCUCGAAAAUCAAUUAAAAAAGGCAGGAUUUUGUGUUGUAUUGACUUUAUCAGCUUUCUGCACUCUUUUCUUGUCUUUUUUAAUGCACUUUUCGUUUAACAAGUCAACAUCAAUUUCUUUUGUUGUAAAAGGGUCAUUGGAAGGUGGCUUUCUUUUCGGAGAAAGUGUUUAUAGCCUUUGGCCUCUGCAAUCGGAGAGAUUGAGGUCUGCAGCGUAGAUCCUUCGGGGUUAGAUACAUUUGUGCUAAGUUAUAGCCUUUCAUAGACAACUUGUUGACUAUGAUCAGUCAUGUAGCUUACUCGCUUAUGCUAUUUUACCUACGCUUAGGAUGUUGACGAUCAGCUGAGCGCG